UCCGUAGGCGGUGCGGCAAGUCGGAAGUGAAAUCUCUGGGCUUAACUCAGAGGCUGCUUCCGAAACUGCCGUGCUCGAGUGUGAGAGAGGCGAGUGGAAUUACGGGUGUAGCGGUGAAAUGCGUAGAUAUCCGUAGGAACAUCCGAGGCGAAAGCGGCUCGCUGGAUCACAACUGACGCUGAGGGACGAAAGCUAGGGGAGCAAACAGGAUUAGAUACCCCGGUAGUCCUAGCCCUAAACCAUCAGGACUUGGGGUUUGCCCUGUACGGGGCAAGUCCCGGAGCUAACGCGUUAAGUCCUGCGCCUGGGGAGUACGGUCGCAAGGCUGAA
rnacentral:rRNA from 1 species